rnacentral:rRNA from 1 species
GACGAACGCUGGCGGCGUGCCUAAUACAUGCAAGUCGUGCGGACUUAUCUUCGGAUAAGUUAGCGGCGGACGGGUGAGUAACACGUGGGCAACCUGCCUGUAAGACUGGGAUAACUCCGGGAAACCGGUGCUAAUACCAGAUACAAUCAAAGACCGCCUGGUCUUUGAUGGAAAGGUCUUGUACCGCUUACAGAUGGGCCCGCGGCGCAUUAGCUAGUUGGUGGGGUAACGGCCUACCAAGGCGACGAUGCGUAGCCGACCUGAGAGGGUGAUCGGCCACACUGGGACUGAGACACGGCCCAGACUCCUACGGGAGGCAGCAGUAGGGAAUCUUCCGCAAUGGACGAAAGUCUGACGGAGCAACGCCGCGUGAGUGAUGAAGGCUUUCGGGUCGUAAAACUCUGUUGUCAGGGAAGAACAUCCGGGAUAACCUCCCGGUCUGACGGUACCUGAUCAGAAAGCCCCGGCUAACUACGUGCCAGCAGCCGCGGUAAUACGUAGGGGGCAAGCGUUGUCCGGAAUUAUUGGGCGUAAAGCGCGCGCAGGCGGUUUCUUAAGUCUGGUGUGAAAGCCCGCAGCUCAACUGCGGAGGGCCACUGGAAACUGGGAAGCUUGAGUGUAGGAGAGGAGAGCGGAAUUCCACGUGUAGCGGUGAAAUGCGUAGAUAUGUGGAGGAACACCCGUGGCGAAAGCGGCUCUCUGGCCUAUAACUGACGCUGAGGCGCGAAAGCGUGGGGAGCAAACAGGAUUAGAUACCCUGGUAGUCCACGCCGUAAACGAUGAGUGCUAGGUGUUGGGGACUCCAAUCCUCAGUGCCGCAGCUAACGCAAUAAGCACUCCGCCUGGGGAGUACGGCCGCAAGGCUG